ensembl:snoRNA
GCCCCGUGAUGAGACCAAGGCGAAUACGAGCUCAUUGAAUGAGAGCUGGGUUCUUCUUGUCUUGACUGGCAGGUAAUCUUGGCAGUGCAGGGGAGGUUUCCUGUUCUGCUGUAAGGGCCUGCCCACAGCGAUUUGGCUCAACCUCAAUUACUCUUCUACAGUCAGAGUGGAGUAAUUGCUGGGAUGAUGUCGACAGUGUGCCUGGUUUAUGUGUUUGUUUGUUCUGUGUGUGUUUGUGUGUAUGGGUGCAGAAGAUAAGGAGUUCAACCAGCUUCUCUUGCUGUUCACUGAGCAAUGAGUUUUGUCUUUGGUAAUCUGAGGGCA